rnacentral:rRNA from 1 species
AGAGCGAACGCUGGCGGCAGGCCUAACACAUGCAAGUCGAGCGCCCGUAGCAAUACGGGAGCGGCAGACGGGAUAGUAACACGUGGGAACGCGCCCUUCGGUUCGGAAUAACUCAGGGAAACUUGAGCUAAUACCGGAUACGCCCUUACGGGGAAAGAUUUAUUGCCGAAGGAACGGCCCGCGUCCGAUUAGCUAGUUGGUGGGGUAAUGGCUCACCAAGGCGACGAUCGGUAGCUGGUCUGAGAGGAUGACCAGCAUCACUGGGACUGAGACACGGCCCAGACUCCUACGGGAGGCAGCAGUGGGGAAUAUUGGACAAUGGGCGCAAGCCUGAUCCAGCCAUGCCGCGUGGAUGAUGAAGGCCUUAGGGUUGUAAAGUCCUUUUAACGGGGAAGAUAAUGACGGUACCGUAGAAUAAGCCCGGCUAACUUCGUGCCAGCAGCCGC